rnacentral:rRNA from 1 species
UAGGGAAUCUUCCACAAUGGACGCAAGUCUGAUGGAGCAACGCCGCGUGAGUGAAGAAGGUUUUCGGAUCGUAAAGCUCUGUUGUUGGUGAAGAAGGAUAGAGGUAGUAACUGGCCUUUAUUUGACGGUAAUCAACCAGAAAGUCACGGCUAACUACGUGCCAGCAGCCGCGGUAAUACGUAGGUGGCAAGCGUUGUCCGGAUUUAUUGGGCGUAAAGCGAGCGCAGGCGGAAGAAUAAGUCUGAUGUGAAAGCCCUCGGCUUAACCGAGGAACUGCAUCGGAAACUGUUUUUCUUGAUUGCAGAAGAGGAGAGUGGAACUCCAUGUGUAGCGGUGGAAUGCGUAGAUAUAUGGAAGGACACCAGUGGCGAAUGCGACUCUCUGGUCUGCAACUGACGCUGAGGCUCGAAAGCAUGGGUAGCGAACAGG